GCGCCUGUAGCUCAACCGGAUAGAGCAACGGCCUUCUAAGCCGUAGGUUACAGGUUCGAUUCCUGUCAGGCGCACCA
rnacentral:tRNA from 3 species